rnacentral:rRNA from 1 species
UAUAGAUGGAUCCGCGCUGCAUUAGCUAGUUGGUAAGGUAACGGCUUACCAAGGCAACGAUGCAUAGCCGACCUGAGAGGGUGAUCGGCCACACUGGAACUGAGACACGGUCCAGACUCCUACGGGAGGCAGCAGUAGGGAAUCUUCCGCAAUGGGCGAAAGCCUGACGGAGCAACGCCGCGUGAGUGAUGAAGGUCUUCGGAUCGUAAAACUCUGUUAUUAGGGAAGAACAUAUGUGUAAGUAACUGUGCACAUCUUGACGGUACCUAAUCAGAAAGCCACGGCUAACUACGUGCCAGCAGCCGCGGUAAUACGUAGGUGGCAAGCGUUAUCCGGAAUUAUUGGGCGUAAAGCGCGCGUAGGCGGUUUUUUAAGUCUGAUGUGAAAGCCCACGGCUCAACCGUGGAGGGUCAUUGGAAACUGGAAAACUUGAGUGCAGAAGAGGAAAGUGGAAUUCCAUGUGUAGCGGUGAAAUGCGCAGAGAUAUGGAGGAACACCAGUGGCGAAGGCGACUUUCUGGUCUGUAACUGACGCUGAUGUGCGAAAGCGUGGGGAUCAA